rnacentral:rRNA from 1 species
UACGUAGGUGGCAAGCGUUGUCCGGAUUUAUUGGGCGUAAAGCGAGCGCAGGCGGUUUCUUAAGUCUGAUGUGAAAGCCCCCGGCUUAACUGGGGAGGGUCAUUGGAAACUGAGGGACUUGAGUGCAGAAGAGGAGAGUGGAAUUCCAUGUGUAGCGGUGAAAUGCGUAGAUAUAUGGAGGAACACCAGUGGCGAAGGCGACUCUCUGGUCUGUAACUGACGC